UAGGGAAUAUUGCGCAAUGGACGCAAGUCUGACGCAGCAACGCCGCGUGGGUGAUGAAGCUCCUUGGAGUGUAAAACCCUGUCAGUGGGGAAGAAACGUAUGAGUAGUAACUGACUCGUACCUGACGGUACCCACAGAGGAAGUCCCGGCUAACUCCGUGCCAGCAGCCGCGGUAAUACGGGGGGGACGAGCGUUGUUCGGAUUUACUGGGCGUAAAGGGCGCGUAGGCGGACCUUCAAGUCGGGUGUGAAACCUGUCGGCUUAACUGACAGCCUGCACUUGAUACUGUUGGCCUUGAGUACAGGAGAGGAGAGCGGAAUUCCUGGUGUAGCGGUGAAAUGCGUAGAUAUCAGGAAGAACACCGGUUGCGAAGGCGGCUCUCUGGACUGAUACUGACGCUUAAGCGCGAAGGCUUGGGGAGCAAACAGG
rnacentral:rRNA from 1 species